GCCCGGCCGCGCGCCUGCGCUGGGGUCCUCGGGCGCGUGGGGUUACUAGAGGUGGAGCGCUGGGAGGGCGCGCGGCAGGAGGCGGACGCCGUUACGGCGGGAGCGUGGUCACGUGGCCGCUGGUCACCGCCGCCACCUCCCGCCCCAUUCUCUUGCUGGUCGGGCCAGGCCCCGCGUGUUCCACGAGAGCCCGGCAGACUGACGGGGAGAGAGAGAGCGAGCGAAAGAGAGAGAGAGAGAGAGAAAGGAGAGACAGAAAGAGAGAGAGAAAGGAGGGGAGGAGGAUGAUUCAGGGAGUAGGAGCUGGGGAGCCCUGCUGCGCUACAGAAAACUUCUGAUGGCUUGGUGAAGAGAAGAAAAACGUCAGAUAGGCCGAAGUACUGUCAUACUUGCUCAUGGAUGCCAACCUCUGAAGCUACAAGUCUGCAGUUCAAUGGUCAUGGCAUCCUAUCACAGCAACAGAAAGAUAAC